UUUGACGACUUGAGAAAAAUAAUCGAAACGUCAGGAAGGCCCUCAACGGGAAGAACGGGAGUUGCAACAUAUUCAAUUUUUUCCGGAGGACACAAAUUUGAAUUCUGCCAUUGUAGCCGAUGCAUCCCGCGGGAUGAAACAACCAGGACUGAUUAUACUUGGAGUGGACCAAUUCUACCUUAAAUUAGAUGAGCAUGCAGUCAAACUUGGAGUUGGUUGCGUGUCAGAGGCCAUGGGAUAUGUUUUGGGGGCUUAUUUUGUGUUUAAUUGCUCAUAUCCGCCUCUGUGGCACAUGGUUUUUUGUUUUUUUGGAAGAAGUUGUAAAUAUUCCUAAAGAACUUAGGAGCGUAAUAUCUUCAAUCACCAUUAGAAAUUUCGUGUCAAAACUUUCCAAAGUAUCUAAUUAGUUAGCAAUGUAUUAAGUUGGAACUGGGAAAAUACAAUGUCUUUGAGUAAAUUCA